UAAAAAUUCAUCAUACACAUAUUGUUUGAUUAAUACCACUUUCUUUGUUUUAUCUUCCCUGGUAAAAACCAUGGCGUUGUCCUUUGCCCAUUGUGUUGUUUGCUUAAUAAGUUGCCUUUGCGCUCUUACUUCAGUAUUACUUCUCGUCUGUUUUGUCUGUUGCGUUAAUUCCCUCACGUAUUGCCAUCUUAAUUUAUGCUUAUCUAAGGUUGGGGCUUGCAAGUCGGAUAAUAAUUCUUCUAUAUACGGUAUUUCCUCAGAUUGGUUGCUAGGUGCAAAAGUGGCACAUGAUGGUCCUUGCUCGAACAGACUUUGAACAAAGUGUGGGAGCUGUAUAUCUCCUAUCACUGAAUUAAAGAACACAGACGGGACAUCGCCUACACAGAAUUAAAGAACACCGAC
rnacentral:lncRNA from 1 species